rnacentral:rRNA from 1 species
UACGGAGGUCCCGAGCGUUGUUCGGAAUCACUGGGCUUAAAGGGUGCGUAGGCGGCGCGACAAGUUGGGUGUGAAAUCCCUCGGCUCAACCGAGGAACUGCGCCCAAAACUGUCGUGCUCGAGGGAGACAGAGGUGAGCGGAACUUAGGGUGGAGCGGUGAAAUGCGUUGAUAUCCUAAGGAACACCGGUGGCGAAAGCGGCUCACUGGGUCUCUUCUGACGCUGAGGCACGAAAGCGAGGGUAGCGAACGGG